rnacentral:rRNA from 1 species
GAUUAAGUUAUUAAGGGCGCACGGUGGAUGCCUUGGCACUAGAAGCCGAUGAAGGACGUUACUAACGACGAUAUGCUUUGGGGAGCUGUA